CGAGGCCAGCACGUGGGUGAUGCAGGCCGCGACCGCGACGCACCGAGGCGGAGGCCACAACGGCGGUCUGUCCCGGACCAAGAGAGAGACACACGGAAGGCGACACGUACUACGGCCCUGAGACUCCGCGAGCGUGCAAGAGACGGUGGAGCACUCGAGGCAGCCGGCGGCGUUUCCUCGCCCGGCCGCUCUCCGCUCCUCGGCAUCGCCGGUGCAAAUGCCUGCGCCGCGACCGCAGCAGCUUCUGCUGCUCCUCGCGGCUACCUGGAGCCUCGGCCUGCUCUGCCUCGCCGCGCCGGAAGGUGGAGGCGGCUCCUGCGAGCUCUCGGUCGAACGCGGUGGCGCGCUCUACAACUUCAGCCUCGCGGCGCCGACGCCGGCCCACCGCCACGGCGUCCUCAGCGAGGAUGGGUUUUACAAAGUGGCCAUGAACGAUUCAGUCAUCUGGUUCCAGCUCUGCGAUCAGAUGAUAUUCAACUUUGACCCACCUGCCUGUCUUCACUGUGAGGACUGUGGUGGUCCAUUGAGGUGUGGCACCCAAUGCAGCGGACUUGCGUCAAAUAACAUUGGAGGGUAUGAUGUUUGUACAACCAUUGGAAGGGCAUCUGGAUCCCAUAUAUCUCUAAUAGAUGAUGGUAAUCCACAAAAGGGUGUCAUUGUCAAGAUGUUUUCAUCAAAGUGUUCUAUUUCUGUUUUCAUCUUUUGUGAUUCAGCUGUAGCCCAACUACCGGAUAAAUUUACCCAAUCUGGAAGUUGUGAUUACGUUACGAUACUUAGACACCCUUCUGGGUGUGCAAGAUCAGUGUCUGAUGCUGGAAAUGGCUGGGGAUGGUUAGGCACUUCGUUCAUAACAAUUUUGUGCCUUCUUGGAGGGUACAUUCUGAUUGGUGCAAUCUAUAGAUAUUAUUUCCUCGGCAUUCAUUCUGUAGAGGCCAUUCCGAACCUGGAAUUUUGGAUCAGUUUGCCACAGAGAAUUAAGAGCAUGUUUGUUCGUUCAAGAAGAAACCCAAGAAGUCAGAGCAGAGAUACUAGAGGACCAUACACCACUAUAAACCACUGAGAAGUAGAAAAAUCCAAUACAAGUAUUGACAGUCACACAGUGAACAAGCAUUCAGAGGCCGGGGGUAUUCCUCCUUUUCAAAAAAAUACAGUGAACAAGCAUAUGUGGAUUGGGGUGAAAGCAAAACCUUUGAUCUCUGCCCAUAUGCCAGAAUAUGAACCUGCCACAGGAUAGUUUCUGAGCUGCAGUAGCCACGUGCUGCUCCUGGGCUCUGUUGCAGAUGACUAGUGGUUUGGCUACAAUUUUUUAACAGAUCCCCCUUUUACGGAUUCAUGGAAUUUCCAUGGUCACUUGGCGUUCCCUUGUCUGUUCUGUGCUGCUUUUGUCCUUGGCAAAUCAGAUUCUGCGGACUUGAGGCCUUGUGGGCAUUGGAGGCUUCAUUUUCUAAAGCACGGAUGUAAUGCGAUCUGCGAUGUUGUUGAUCUGAAUUUAUGUACUGCCACAAAGAUAUUGAUAUGUGUUGAUGUUUGGAUCAUGAAGCCUAUAGAAGCUUUUGAUGACAAUAGUUUGUGCUGCCGAAUAUUCUGUUCAUGAUGCUGUAGACUGCACGAAUUAUCAGGAUGGCAGAAGAGUCAUGGGCUCGAAUCGGAAAGUAUAUGCUUCCUGUGUUCUGUAAGUAUAGGAGCUGACAUUGUUCUGAAUAUUUGCUGAUGACUGCUUCUUCGUUA